rnacentral:rRNA from 1 species
GAGAAUUCCACGUUUUUCCGCGCCGUAGCUAACGCAUUAAGUGCCCCGCCUGGGGAGUACGGCCGCAAGGCUAAAACUCAAAGGAAUUGACGGGGGCCCGCACAAGCGGCGGAGCAUGCGGAUUAAUUCGAUGCAACGCGAAGAACCUUACCAAGGCUUGACAUGGGCCGGAUCGCCGCAGAAAUGCGGUUUCCCUUCGGGGCCGGUUCACAGGUGGUGCAUGGUUGUCGUCAGCUCGUGUCGUGAGAUGUUGGGUUAAGUCCCGCAACGAGCGCAACCCUCGUUCUAUGUUGCCAGCGGUUCGGCCGGGGACUCAUAGGAGACUGCCGGGGUCAACUCGGAGGAAGGUGGGGACGACGUCAAAUCAUCAUGCCCCUUAUGUCUUGGGCUUCACGCAUGCUACAAUGGCCGGUACAAAGGGUUGCGAUACUGUGAGGUGGAGCUAAUCCCAAAAAGCCGGUCUCAGUUCGGAUUGAGGUCUGCAACUCGACCUCAUGAAGUCGGAGUCGCUAGUAAUCGCAGAUCAGCAACGCUGCGGUGAAUACGUUCCCGGGCCUUGUACACACCGCCCGUCAAGUCACGAAAGUUGGUAACACCCGAAGCCGGUGGCCUAACCCUUUUGGGAGGGAGCCGUCGAAGGUGGGACCGGCGAUUGGGACUAAGUCGUAACAAGGUAACCGAUAAGG